CCUAUCAAAGAGUUGGACACUCACGACAAGCUGAUCGAAGAAUGAGGGAAACUUGCGGAGGACCUCAUGAUGAUCCUCCUAAACAAUGGAUACGAAAGGCAUAUAUUUCAGAUAGGAUCAAAUCUAAAUAAGGUAAUUCAAAACCAACUAGCUUCCUUUUUGCAGAAAAAUAUAGAUAUCUUUAUCUAAUCAACAACAGAUAUUCUCAAAAUUGAUCUAGAAAUAAUAAUACACUAGCUGCAUACGGACCGCCUCCACCAACCCAUCAAGCAGAAGAAGUG
rnacentral:lncRNA from 1 species